rnacentral:rRNA from 1 species
GUCCUACGGGGGGCAGCAGUAGGGAAUCUUCCACAAUGGACGAAAGUCUGAUGGAGCAACGCCGCGUGAGUGAAGAAGGGUUUCGGCUCGUAAAGCUUUGUUGGUAGUGGAGAAAGAUAGAGGUAGUAACUGGCCUUUAUUUGACGGUAAUUACUUAGAGAGUCACGGCUAACUACGUGCCAGCAGCCGCGGUAAUACGUAGGUGGCAAGCGUUGUCCGGAUUUAUUGGGGGUGAAGCGAGUGCAGGCG